rnacentral:rRNA from 1 species
UGGGGAAUAUUGCACAAUGGGGGGAACCCUGAUGCAGCGAUGCCGCGUGGAGGAAGAGGGUUUUCGGAUUGUAAACUCCUGUCUUAAGGGACGAUAAUGACGGUACCUUAGGAGGAAGCUCCGGCUAACUACGUGCCAGCAGCCGCGGUAAUACGUAGGGAGCGAGCGUUGUCCGGAAUUACUGGGUGUAAAGGGAGCGUAGGCGGGAUUGCAAGUCAGAUGUGAAAACUAUGGGCUUAACCCAUAGACUGCAUUUGAAACUGUAGUUCUUGAGUGAAGUAGAGGUAAGCGGAAUUCCUAGUGUAGCGGUGAAAUGCGUAGAUAUUAGGAGGAACAUCGGUGGC